GCUCCGAUAAUGAGCGGUUAGCAUGCGCUCCCGGAAAGGGUGCGACGCGGGUUCAAAUACCGCUCGAAGUU